rnacentral:tRNA from 1 species
ACCGGGAUCGUUCAUUUGGUAAGGACGGCGGUCUCUGAAUCCGCAGAGGCAGGUUCGAAUCCUGCUCCCGGUA